UGGGUAACCUGCCUCUUGCUCUGGGAUAACUCCGGGAAACCGGGGCUAAUACCGGAUAUUCAUUUCUGGCCGCAUGGUUGGUUGUGGAAAGUUUUUCGGCGAGAGAUGGACCCGCGGCCUAUCAGCUUGUUGGUGGGGUGAUGGCCUACCAAGGCGACGACGGGUAGCCGGCCUGAGAGGGCGACCGGCCACACUGGAACUGAGACACGGUCCAGACUCCUACGGGAGGCA
rnacentral:rRNA from 1 species